UUUUGCACUCUCUGUAAGGAUACGAAAAACUGUGUCGGCAUUUCUUUGUAAUGUAUAAUAUAAUGGAGGUAAUAUUACUUUGCUAUCCUUAGUAUGACUAGGGCUAUAGAGUAUACCAUUAUAAAUAUAAUAAUAACUUUUAUCGACCUAAUGGAAGAAUGAGAGUUCAUUUGGGCUUCAUGCUUUUUAUUAAGUUUUAUUUUGGAAUAAAGGAUUAACUUGCAUGUCAUAUUGUGAGUAUCAGUCUCAUGCCCAACGUUACUAAAGAGCACUCAUUGUAUAAUGAUAGCUAACGCCGCUCAUAUGGUGAAUGAU